ensembl:snoRNA
UGGAGGCUUGAGAAAGUUUUGCUGUUGCUUUAGUACAGCUUCAACUGGUUUUGACCUCCUAGACUAAAUCUCAAUCACUGCCUUCAUGUCUGACAUUUU